ACCGUCUAACGCACACCCCAGACUUUUACCUCCCAGGCUUUGGUGUCAGGGCUGAUUCCCACGAGUCAUCUUAACAUUCCAAAGCAGCUAGCUACCAGCCUCCUGAUGUUUGUCGUUUCCCAGGCCUGUCUCCAUCGUUGCUUUUUUUGUUCGUUCGUUUCCAGUGAAGCUGCUGUGGUGAAACUGAGAGAAGAAAAAAAAUAAAACCUUGCCCAGG
rnacentral:lncRNA from 1 species